GAACGUACGCUGGCGGCACGCCUAACACAUGCAAGUCGAACGAAGUAGCAAUACUUAGUGGCAGACGGGUGAGUAACAUGUAGGUAUCUGCCCUUUGGCCUGGAAUAACACGAGGAAACUUGUGCUAAUACCGGAUAAGUCUUUACGGAGAAAGCUUUAUGCACCAUUGGAUGAGCCUGCACUUGAUUAGUUUGUUGGUGGGGUAAUGGCCUACCAAGACUGUGAUCAAUAGCUGAUUUGAGAGGAUGAUCAGCCACAUUGGGACUGAGACACGGCCCAAACUCCUACGGGAGGCAGCAGUGGGGAAUCUUGCACAAUGGAGGAAACUCUGAUGCAGCGAUGCCGCGUGAGUGAAGAAGGCCCUUGGGUUGUAAAGCUCUUUCGUCGGGGAAGAAAAUGACUGUACCCGAAUAAGAAGGUCCGGCUAACUUCGUGCCAGCAGCCGCGGUAAUACGAAGGGACCUAGCGUAGUUCGGAAUUACUGGGCUUAAAGAGUUCGUAGGUGGUUGAAAAAGUUAGUGGUGAAAUCCCAGAGCUUAACUCUGGAACUGCCAUUAAAACUUUUCAGCUAGAGUAUGAUAGAGGAAAGCAGAAUUUCUAGUGUAGAGGUGAAAUUCGUAGAUAUUAGAAAGAAUACCAAUUGCGAAGGCAGCUUUCUGGAUCAUUACUGACACUGAGGAACGAAAGCAUGGGUAGCGAAGAGGAUUAGAUACCCUCGUAGUCCAUGCCGUAAACGAUGUGUGUUAGACGUUGGAAAUUUAUUUUCAGUGUCGCAGGGAAACCGAUAAACACACCGCCUGGGGAGUACGACCGCAAGGUUAAAACUCAAAUGAAUUGACGGGGACCCGCACAAGUAGUGGAGCAUGUGGUUUAAUUCGAAGAUACGCGCAGAACCUUACCAACACUUGACAUGUUCGUCGCGACUCUAAGAGAUUAGAGUUUUCGGUUCGGCCGGACGAAACACAGGUGCUGCAUGGCUGUCGUCAGCUCGUGUCGUGAGAUGUUGGGUUAAGUCCCGCAACGAGCGCAACCCUCACUUUUAGUUGCCAUCAUUAAGUUGGGCACUCUGAAAGAACUGCCAGUGAUAAGCUGGAGGAAGGUGGGGAUGACGUCAAGUCCUCAUGGCCCUUACGUGUUGGGCUACACACGUGCUACAAUGGUAUCUACAACAGGAAGCAAGACUGCGAAGUUAAGCAAAUCCCGAAAAGAUACCUCAGUUCGGAUUGCACUCUGCAACUCGAGUGCAUGAAGCUGGAAUUACUAGUAAUCGUGGAUCAGCGUGCCACGGUGAAUGCGUUCCCGGGUCUUGUACACACCGCC
rnacentral:rRNA from 1 species